GGCUCGUUAGCUCAGGUGGUUAGAGCGCCGGCCUAAAACUUCGGAGGACGCAGGUUCGAAUCCUGCACGAGCCC